CCCUUAGACGUUCUGGGCCGCACGCGCGCUACACUGACGAAGGCAACGAGCUUUCCUUUACCGAAAGGUACGGGUAAUCUUUUGAAACUUCGUCGUGCUGGGGAUAGAUCCUUGCAAUUUUUGAUCUUAAACGAGGAAUGCCUAGUAAGCGCAAGUCAUCAACUUGCGUUGAUUACGUCCCUGCCCUUUGUACACACCGCCCGUCGCUCCUACCGAUUGAAUGUUCCGAUGAAUACCAUGGACUGAGAGUAUGAAUGGGUUCGCCUAUUUCUGCUUCUCGGGAAGUGGAGUAAAUCUUAACAUUUAGAGGAAGGAGAAGUCGUAACA
rnacentral:rRNA from 1 species